CACAGCUCUGUCGUCAACUCCAUAUUAUACAUGAUCUAAAACAAGAGGCUUCUGUCAUUCACACCCCACUGUGAUGUCACCAUCUGUAGCCCUAGACCUGCCUGCCACCAGUGUGUGUGUGAGUGAAUGCACCAUCUGUCCUCAAUGGGCCUCCCCUUGAUGCUGUUAUAUACGCUGCUUGCUCCAUGGGGGAUGGACGCUGCUUGGACGCCUGAGGUGAAAGCCCCUCACUGGGCAGAGGAUGCAGCAGCAGUGGGGUUGGAGGUCUGGUGGUGUUGCUGGUGUCCUGCUGAACAAAAGGUCUCAAUGAGUGAAACACACAACAGCAUUUUAAUGAGCCACAG
ensembl:lncRNA